rnacentral:rRNA from 2 species
GGAUGAACGCUGGCGGCGUGCCUAAUACAUGCAAGUCGAGCGAACUGAUUAGAAGCUUGCUUCUAUGACGUUAGCGGCGGACGGGUGAGUAACACGUGGGCAACCUGCCUGUAAGACUGGGAUAACUUCGGGAAACCGAAGCUAAUACCGGAUAGGAUCUUCUCCUUCAUGGGAGAUGAUUGAAAGAUGGUUUCGGCUAUCACUUACAGAUGGGCCCGCGGUGCAUUAGCUAGUUGGUGAGGUAACGGCUCACCAAGGCAACGAUGCAUAGCCGACCUGAGAGGGUGAUCGGCCACACUGGGACUGAGACACGGCCCAGACUCCUACGGGAGGCAGCAGUAGGGAAUCUUCCGCAAUGGACGAAAGUCUGACGGAGCAACGCCGCGUGAGUGAUGAAGGCUUUCGGGUCGUAAAACUCUGUUGUUAGGGAAGAACAAGUACRAGAGUAACUGCUYGUACCUUGACGGUACCUAACCAGAAAGCCACGGCUAA